rnacentral:rRNA from 1 species
UACGGAGGAUGCGAGCGUUAUCCGGAUUUAUUGGGUUUAAAGGGUGCGUAGGCGGAUCGUUAAGUCAGUGGUCAAAUUGAGGGGCCCAACCCCUUCCCGCCAUUGAAACUGGCGAUCUUGAGUGGAAGAGAAGUAUGCGGAAUGCGUGGUGUAGCGGUGAAGUGCAUAGAUAUCACGCAGAACCCGAUUGCGAAGGCAGCAUGCCGGCUUCCUACUGACGCUGAAGCACGAAAGCGUGGGGAUCGAACAGG